CCUACGGGUGGCAGCAGUGAGGAAUAUUGGUCAAUGGGCGCAAGCCUGAACCAGCCAAGCAGCGUGAAGGAUGACGGCCCUACGGGUCGCAGACCUCUUUUACCAGGGAACAAAAGGACGCACGUGUGCCGUUCUGUGUGUACUCUAAGAAAAAGCAUCGGCUAACUCCGUGCCAGCAGCCGCGGUAAUACGGGGGAUGCGAGCGUUAUCCGGAUUUAUUGGGUUUAAAGGGAGCGUAGGGGGGGUUUUAAGCCUGUUGUGAAAGUCGGGGGCUCAACCGCGGACUUGCAGUUGAUAUUGGGGGUCUUGAGUGCGGUUGAGGCAGGCGGAAUGCGUGGUGUAGCGGUGAAAUGCAUAGAUAUCGCGAAGAACUCCGAUUGCGAAGGCAGCUUGCCGUGCUGCCACUGACGCUGAGGCUCGAAAGUGUGGGGAUCGAACAGGAUUAGAUACCCUGGUAGUC
rnacentral:rRNA from 1 species